UACGGAGGAUGCGAGCGUUAUCCGGAUUUAUUGGGUUUAAAGGGUGCGUAGGCGGACGCUUAAGUCAGCGGUAAAAUUGCGGGGCUCGACCUCGUCGAGCCGUUGAAACUGGGUGCCUUGAGUGGGCGAGAAGUACGCGGAAUGCGUGGUGUAGCGGUGAAAUGCAUAGAUAUCACGCAGAACUCCGAUUGCGAAGGCAGCGUACCGGCGCCCUACUGACGCUGAAGCACGAAGGCGUGGGUAUCGAACAGG
rnacentral:rRNA from 1 species